UGCCGUACAAAGGAGUGGUGGGUUGGAGU
rnacentral:piRNA from 1 species